UAGGUGUUUGUUUUUUUGCAAUCCAUUUGGAUCUUGGUUUUAAUCGAAAUAUUUUGAGACAAAAAUGGCACGAUUGACUGCAUUUAUUUUACUUUUGAUUGUGUUGUUUGAAAUAUUCUUGGAAGUAGAUGCACUUCCGUGUUCAUGGAUUUGUGACAAAAUUUGCAUAAUGAUAAAGUGUGAAAUAGUAUGUAGAUAUGUCUGCUAGAAUCCAAUAUCUUCGUCAACUUUCACUUUCCUCUGGCAUUCAAUAUCAACAAGAAUGGUCGUAAAUUGAACUAAUAAAGUAUUUUUAAAAUCUUGA